rnacentral:rRNA from 1 species
AUUGAACGCUGGCGGCAGGCCUAACACAUGCAAGUCGAACGGUAACAGGAAGAAGCUUGCUUAUUUGCUGACGAGUGGCGGACGGGGGAGUAAUGUCUGGGAAACUGCCUGAUGGAGGGGGAUAACUACUGGAAACGGUCGCUAAUACAGCAUAACGUCGCAAGACCAAAGAGGGGGACAUUCUGGCCUCUUGCCCUCGGAUGUGCCCAGAUGGGAUUAGCUAGUAGGUGGGGUAACGGCUCACCUAGGCGACGAUCCCUAGCUGGUCUGAGAGGAUGACCAGCCACACUGGAACUGAGACACGGUCCAGACUCCUACGGGAGGCAGCAGUGGGGAAUAUUGCACAAUGGGCGCAAGCCUGAUGCAGCCAUGCCGCGUGUAUGAAGAAGGCCUUCGGGUUGUAAAGUGCUUUUAGCGGGGAGGAAGGGAUUAAAGUUAAUACCUUGCCUUAUUGACGUUACCCGCAGAAGAAGCACCGGCUAACUCCGUG